rnacentral:rRNA from 1 species
GACAGAGGAUGCAAGCGUUAUCCGGAAUGAUUGGGCGUAAAGCGUCUGUAGGUGGCUUUUUAAGUUCGCCGUCAAAUCCCAGGGCUCAACCCUGGACAGGUGGUGGAAACUACCAAGCUAGAGUACGGUAGGGGCAGAGGGAAUUUCCGGUGGAGCGAUGAAAUGCGUAUAGAUCGGAAGGAACACCCAAGGCGAAAGCACUCUGCUGGGCCGACACUGACACUGAGAGACGAAAGCUAGGGGAGCAAAUGGG